ensembl:snRNA U6 U6 spliceosomal RNA
GUGUUUGCUUCAGUAUCAUAUAUACUAAAAUUGGAACAAUAUAGAGAAGAGUAGCAUGGCCUCUGCACAAGGAUGACACACAAAUUCAUGAAGCAGUUCAGAAUUAU